CAGUCACUCUGAGACAGUGGUGCUGAGCAGACGUCACUCGAUUGGCUUGUGAUACAUACACACACCCAAAAUGGCGGAUCAGCUGACCGAAGAACAAAUUGCCGAAUUCAAGGAGGCUUUCUCCCUCUUCGACAAGGACGGCGACGGCACCAUCACCACCAAGGAAUUGGGCACAGUCAUGAGGUCUUUGGGCCAGAACCCCACCGAAGCCGAACUCCAGGACAUGAUCAACGAGGUGGAUGCUGACGGUAAUGGCACAAUCGACUUCCCCGAGUUCCUCACCAUGAUGGCCCGCAAAAUGAAGGACACCGACUCCGAGGAAGAGAUCAGGGAAGCCUUCAGGGUGUUCGACAAGGACGGCAACGGCUUCAUCUCUGCGGCCGAGCUCAGGCACGUGAUGACCAACCUCGGAGAGAAGCUGACUGACGAGGAAGUCGAUGAGAUGAUCAGGGAAGCCGAUAUUGACGGCGACGGUCAGGUCAAUUAUGAGGAAUUCGUGCGAAUGAUGACUUCUAAGUAGAGACGCCACCUGCGGCCCCUCCCCCCCCGUCGGGCCGUGGCUGGCCGACCUUAACCCUUAAUAAUAGCUAGUUCGUCACGAUGAUGACCUCGAAGUGAAGUGAUCGCGCCUCCUAAAUAUUGUAAACAAAUUUCAAACGAACAGUUUUUUCUGCUUUCCAAUUUAUCUUGUUAACGGACCGCUAAAAAAAACAUUGUAAUACACGAGUCGUCACUAUCUCUUAAUUGCUAACUCUUAUUGCCUUCAUAUACACGAUCUGGCUCUCGGCUAGAGUUUCCAGCAGCAGUAUCAAGCAGCCACCACCACCACCACCACUACUUCUACGUCUGCUACUACUACUACUACUACUUCUACUACUACUACUACUACUAUUACUACUAUAACCCUUCCUCUGUUCUGACGCCUCCUACUACUACUACUAUUUCUACCACUUUUCCUACUACUAUGACCACGGCCCCAACUCCCUCUCUCCCCCUUCGCCCCUCUUCCAGCCUAACUCACCCCGCCAGCAGAACACCAGCUACAACAAGAACAAAAACGACUAAAACAGCAAGAAAGCAAGCGAGCAGGCAGCCACAACCAAGACCUUUUUCGGUUGCUAGUAAGGUUGGCCGUUGAGGAAUCUCUCGUCCGCCUGCAGAAUGAAAUUCGAAGCCAAAUUGGACAAGCAAAAGAAAAAUAAGAUCGGUAAAAAUCGGACUACACCUUUUGAGACCACUAUUGGAAAAGCGAAAUUCGAUCAGAACCAACGGAAAAGAGCGUGUCAGUGUGGGGUGUGCGCCAGACGAGGGCGUGGAGGAUGCUGACGGGACGUGGCUGAACCUUAUCCCCCUGGCAGGAGUAAGUGACUCUCUGUCAGUAGCGGUAGCGCCGUUAUAGAUGGGUUGGUUGUCCUAGGGAUUGCGUCACGGGUGGCUGGACCUCUGGAAAGAAAAAAGGAAAAUAUAUUGCUAUUUAACCAGUGAUUAUAUAUAUAUACUACACAUACAUUUAUGUAUAUUAUAUGAAUAUAUACUCGAAGUAGCAAGCGAUACUUUGUGAUGAAAGGUUAGGGAGGCUUCGUGGACGUCGUCGUCAGACCCACUGGGGCAGCCUGGAAGAUCUUGCCGCCAGCUCGCGUCCGCCGCCCUCAAGGUGUGCUCUCCCAUGUAGCCGUUCGGGCGGCCGAGGUGCGAACCCGUGCCUCUGCCGAAGCCGCCGCGGUGGCGCCAUCCGACUGUUGUGGUUGCCGCCGCGAGCCCGGCUUGGCUUGGCCGGCCGCCCCGGGUGACCUCUUCACUUCCGCCACCUUGACGUCGUGAAGGUUGCCAGGUCGCGGGUCACGCGAGUGGCCGUGACCGGCGACGCAACGCUGGCCGAGGCGCUGGUGGGUACUGUCGCUGCGAAGACUUCUCGCCGUUAUCUCCUCCAUCAUUGUUGAACAACGUGAAGACUUUUUUGAACACCCAAGAGGCCAGCCACCCUUUACUCGUCUCUCAAGACUACUUGGCUCUUUCCUUAAGUUUUCAUUUUGUCUGUCCAGUUCUGUAUAAGAAUGGAAAUAUAUAUAAAAAUAGGUUGGUCAGUUUUUACAAGCUGUUGUAGCAAAAUUAUUAUUUUUAGUUAAGAGAACCAUUGCGUUCGUGAAAUAUAUUUGAUAAGAGGAUAGUAUCCCGUCUGGCCAAUGGUCAGGCUGGGUUACUUUGGACCUUUUUUGAAAUUCCUCUUAGAAUUUUUUUCUUUUUAAUGAAGAUCGCUGCCUUGCGAUGCCUUUUUUAUUUUAGUUUGUCUGGAAGUCAGUUUCUCUGGUAAAUAAGAAAGGAAGGAGAGGGUGCGCUGUAUUUUUGUGUUGGUUGAAUGAAGUUGGUACAUUUCCGUAUCAUGUAAUUUCUUGUUAGGUGUGUCUUUGUCAAUUUUUCUUAAAGGAAUAGCAAAUGUAUACAUAUUGCAAAAAACAAAAAUGAAGUUGAAAAAAUUUCCUCUUGUACUACAUAAUACUAAUGUAAGGCACGUCACACAACCAUGACUGUUUCUGUUUCCCAACCACCACUUCCCUGCAUUGUUUACAUCACUUGUUUGUUAACAUUGCCGCUUUGUGCAAAGGCUCUGUUGCCUCUGCCAGCGAGCUUGACCACUUAUGAUUACGAUAGACCAUGCUGAUUAAAUAAUGGAUAUUAUGAUUAUAAUUAUAAUUGUGUAGGAGAAAUACAGUUCUUUCAAAAGUUU